AACGAACGCUGGCGGCGUGCCUAACACAUGCAAGUCGAACGAGAAAGGGGCUUCGGCUCUGAGUAAAGUGGCGCACGGGUGAGUAACACGUGGGUAACCUGCCUCUAAGAUUGGGAUAACUCGUCGAAAGAUGAGCUAAUACCGGAUAAGACCACAGUUCCCGCGGGAACAGGGGUCAAAGGUAGCCUCUGCUUGCACGCUAUCACUUAGAGAUGGGCCUGCGCACCAUUAGCUAGUUGGUAGGGUAACGGCCUACCAAGGCAAAGAUGGUUAGCUGGUCGGAGAGGAUGAACAGCCACACUGGAACUGAGACACGGGCCAGACUCCUACGGGAGGUAGCAGGGGGGAAUAUUGCGCAAUGGGCGAAAGCUUGAAGCAGCAACGCCGGGGGAGUGAUGAAGGCCUUCGGGUCGUAAAGCUCUGUCGGGAGGAACGAAUGCUCCCAAGGUUAACAGCCUCGGGAGGUGACGGUACCUUCAAAGGAAGCACCGGCUAACUCUGUGCCAGCCGCCGCCGUAACAC
rnacentral:rRNA from 1 species